ACGGCGUUGCUUCCACUGGGCUCGGUGAUGCGAGGCCAGGUGCCUGCUUAAAGCGGUCGUCCCUAGGCGAAUGUUGGACUUACCGCGAUUUAUGCGUUGACAGCACAGGCUGCAAAUGGCAACACUACUAUCAGCUAAAUUUAAAAAA